GUGCAGGGCUGGAUCUGUGAAGUCAUCAUCAUUUGUAUAGGAUUUUGGGCAGUAAUGUAAGGGAAAAGUAAAUAAUCUAAUAUUUUUAUUUUUAAAUCUUUAUCAAACCGAACCCAUGGUAGGUCAUUACAGAGUCGGGGGCCGUGAUGGCAAAAGCCCAGGACCUCAAGAAGGCCCCACCUAAGGAAUCGGGCUGCAGGAUGGCCCAUAUGAGGUCAAUAGUUCAUAAGAACGAUCCUGCUCCAUGUUGCCAGUUUAUAGCAUUCUCCCUCGUCUGACCUCGAUCCAGCCUUUAUUUCUCAUGCUAGUAUCUCAGUGUAUGACCUGUUUGUGUUUUUUGACUCUGCCUUUAGCCUACUCCUCUGGAUUUGUUUGGUAUUUGAGCUCUGGCUUUUUGUGUUCCAGAAUUGGACUGUAUUA